GGGCGCGUAGCUCAACUGGCAGAGCAACUGACUCUUAAUCAGUAGGUUGACAGUUCGAUUCUGUCCGCGCUCACCA
rnacentral:tRNA from 2 species